AGUGAACGCUGGCGGUAGGCCUAACACAUGCAAGUCGAACGGCAGCACAGUAAGAGCUUGCUCUUACGGGUGGCGAGUGGCGGACGGGUGAGGAAUACAUCGGAAUCUACUUUUUCGUGGGGGAUAACGUAGGGAAACUUACGCUAAUACCGCAUACGACCUACGGGUGAAAGCAGGGGAUCUUCGGACCUUGCGCGAUUGAAUGAGCCGAUGUCGGAGUAGCUAGUUGGCGGGGUAAAGGCCCACCAAGGCGACGAUCCGUAGCUGGUCUGAGAGGAUGAUCAGCCACACUGGAACGGAGACGGGGUCCAGACUCCUACGGGAGGCAGCAGUGGGAAAUAUUGGACAAGGGGCGCAAGCCGGAUCCAGCCAUACCGCGUGGGUGAAGAAGGCCUUCGGGUUGUAAAGCCCAUUUGUUGGGAAAGAAAAUACGCAGGUUAAUACCCCGUUCUUCUGACGGCUCCCCAAGAAUAAGCAGCUGCUAACUUCG
rnacentral:rRNA from 1 species